ACUCCUACGGGAGGCAGCAGUGGGGAAUAUUGCACAAUGGGCGCAAGCCUGAUGCAGCCAUGCCGCGUGUGUGAAGAAGGCCUUCGGGUUGUAAAGCACUUUUCAGUUGUGAGGAAGGUGGUGUCGUUAAUAGCGGCAUCAUUUGACGUUAGCAACAGAAGAAGCACCGGCUAACUCCGUGCCAGCAGCCGCGGUAAUACGGAGGGUGCGAGCGUUAAUCGGAAUUACUGGGCGUAAAGCGCAUGCAGGUGGUUUGUUAAGUCAGAUGUGAAAGCCCGGGGCUCAACCUCGGAACUGCAUUUGAAACUGGCAGACUAGAGUACUGUAGAGGGGGGUAGAAUUUCAGGUGUAGCGGUGAAAUGCGUAGAGAUCUGAAGGAAUACCGGUGGCGAAGGCGGCCCCCUGGACAGAUACUGACACUCAGAUGCGAAAGCGUGGGGAGCAAACAGGAUUAGAUACCCUGGGAGCACAGAG
rnacentral:rRNA from 1 species